CCUACGGGGCGCAGCAGUAGGGAAUUUUCGUCAAUGGGCGCAAGCCUGAACGAGCAAUGCCGCGUGAACGAGGAAGGUCUUCGGAUCGUAAAGUUCUGUUGAAGGGGAAAAAGAGCGGAGAGAGGAAAUGGUCUCCGAUUGAUAUUACCCUUCGAGGACGUCACGGCUAACUACGUGCCAGCAGCCGCGGUAAUACGUAGGUGGCGUGCGUUAUCCGGAAUGAUUGGGCGUAAAGGGUGCGUGGGCGGCCUGCUAAGUCUGGAGUGAACGGUACCGGCUCAACCGGUACAGGCUCUGGAAACUGGCGGGCUAGAGAGCAGGAGAGGGCGGUGGAACUCCAGGUGUAGCGGUAAAAUGCGUAGAUAUAUGGAAGAACACCAGUGGCGAAGGCGGCCGCCUGGCCUGUUACUGACGCUGAGGCACGAAAGCGUGGGGAGCAAAUAGGAUUAGAUACCCCUGUAGUC
rnacentral:rRNA from 1 species